GACGAACCGAGCGAACGUUAUUCGGAAUCACUGGGCUUAAAGGGUGCGUAGGCGGGCUGUCAAGUCUGGGGUGAAAUCCGGCAGCUUAACUGUCGAACUGCCUCAGAUACUGAUGGCCUCGAGGGAGGUAGGGGCAUGCGGAACUGUAGGUGGAGCGGUGAAAUGCGUUGAUAUCUACAGGAACUCCGGUGGCGAAAGCGGCGUGCUGGACCUCUUCUGACGCUGAGGCACGAAAGCUAGGGGAGCAAACGGG
rnacentral:rRNA from 1 species